UACGUAGGGGGCUAGCGUUGUCCGGAUUUAUUGGGCGUAAAGAGCGUGUAGGCGGCCUGGUAGGUCUGCUGUGAAAACUCGAGGCUCAACCUCGAGAUGUCGGUGGAAACCGUUUGGCUAGAGUCCGGAAGAGGAGAGUGGAAUUCCUGGUGUAGCGGUGAAAUGCGCAGAUAUCAGGAAGAACACCAAUGGCGAAGGCAGCUCUCUGGGACGGUACUGACGCUGAGACGCGAAAGCGUGGGGAGCGAACAGG
rnacentral:rRNA from 1 species